rnacentral:tRNA from 1 species
AGCCCUAUGGGUGCCGCUCGGCCGAACUUGUAAAGCGGGGGUCGUCGGUUCGAACCCGACAGGGGGCUCCA